rnacentral:rRNA from 1 species
AUGGUGAACUUUAAGAAGCAACCCAAUAGAAUUGUGGCCUCUGGACUCACGCAUGCCACUAAAUUGACACAUAAGCUCCAUGGACCAUUUAGGGUUGUGCAGAAGGUUGGAAAUUCUUUUUACAAGCUCCACCUUCCUGACCACAUCACAAUACAUCUUGUAUUUCAUGUUAGUUAGCUGAAGAUACACAAGGGACGGCUAGCUAUUCCUAAUCAACAGUUGCCACUUGUUGGUUUUGAUGGGGAAAUCAGAACUGAACCAGUCCAAGUAAUGAAAAGCAGAUCAUUGUCAAGACCAGGAGUGCUAGUCAGUAGCUAA